rnacentral:rRNA from 1 species
UACGUAGGGACCAAGCGUUGUUCGGAUUUACUGGGCGUAAAGGGCGCGUAGGCGGCAAUUCAAGUCAGUUGUGAAAUCUCCGAGCUUAACUCGGAACGGUCAACUGAUACUGUUUUGCUAGAGUACAGAAGGGGCAAUCGGAAUUCUUGGUGUAGCGGUGAAAUGCGUAGAUAUCAAGAGGAACACCUGAGGUGAAGACGGGUUGCUGGGCUGAUACUGACGCUGAGGCGCGAAAGCGUGGGGAGCAAACAGG